UCCCUGUGGUCCAAUGCGAGCUGAGAACAGCUGCGCGCCCGCCUAGCGCUGCGAACCCGGAGUGAGAGGCGCUUCAGAGACUGGAGGGACGGACCUGCAGGAGCCAGGGCUGCCCGCCGAGCUGCAGUUGCCGCUACUGCCGCUGUCAGCGCCCGACUGAAGAGUGACAGCCGCAAAAGCAGGAGUGAGCACCGAACCCCGCGCUUCUACCUAACAGGUGCAUGCGCCGAUUUGGUGAGUGGACCCAGCUCGCAAGAUCUCAGGUAACCAUUCAUGACCCUGAGGCUGUGAGAAAUGCUCGCUGUGCAAAGGGGAACUCUCACCAGAUUUUCUGAAGCUGUUCUAGAAAUACACUUUUCGGAUUGAUUCAGCAUUACCAGCUUAUCCAACAAAAGUAUUAACAUACACAUUAACAACGUCGAAAGUAGCCUACUUUAAGAGAAAAUAUGCAGAAGAAGAAGAUUUACAUCAAGAUUACCAUGGGUAUUUUCCAAAACACCUGAUAUUACCUGAGGACAGAACUUGCAUUCUGAAACUUUCUCUGGAGAAGCUCAGGUUUCUUGAAGACCCAGAAACCUACUUAAGAAGGUCUGUGUUAAUUAACAAUUUGCUGAGGAAGAUACAUCUAGAGACGGAGAAAGAGAGCUAUGAAUACUUUAAAGAAGCUCCCUGUUAUAAGACUGCAUAUUCUGAUACAAGAAAACGGCUGAAGUUUAUGGUACAGGAAUGCUGUUCUCAGUCUCUCUAUUAUGAAGAGCUGCAUUCGUAUCAUAUUGUGCCUUAUGCUUCGGAUAAUGCCAUUUAUGAAAUGGGCUACACUAGCAGCCACUUGGAGCAAAAUUCUCAGUUGCUUAUUUAUAAAAUGAAUUAAAGUAACUGUUAAGUCCAUUGA